AGAGUCCUACGAAGAAGAUGUAGCCCAUCACUUCGGCCUCCAGCGGAGGGGCGACUGCGGUAACAACGUCGUCUUGAGCGUCCGUGCGGAGGGUCAAGCAGGCUGUGCUAUUGAGCUCCGAAAUCACCACUCUCGCGUGCCGACCAUGUCCUGACAAGGGGAAGGCCACAUCGCGGGCGUCGCUAUGGGCGAGACGCCAGCGGACGCGGCGGAGUCUGAGAACC
rfam:Freshwater sediment metagenome lwFormaldehyde_BCIB34858_g1, whole genome shotgun sequence.